rnacentral:misc_RNA from 1 species
CUUUUUUUCAAGAUUUUUCUGUAAUGAUUUAAGUGCGAAUAUGCAUACCAUGCAACGUGCAUUAAGUCCCUACAAAAUUCUUAACAAAAUAGAUCCAUGUAUCGUCCCGAUUAGUUAGCUACUCGUAAUCUCAAUUUCAAUUAUUUUGCCAUUUGGCAGGUUUCUUUUUUCCAAUACUACAAGAUACUUGAAGCGUGACAAGUUUCGAAAGGAAUAAAACGUUACUGUUAAUUAUUAUCAAUCGUAAUUCAUAUUUAUAUAUCAUCAACUAUAAGUAUAAUUAUAGCUUGUAGCUAAUUUAGCGCUCGGCUUUCUUUCCACGGCUUUUUCAGGAUUGCAUUGAGAUUAUGUACGUACGCAUGCAUGUAUGCAUGCCGGUAAGAUCGCUCAAUUGCAUAGCGUUACGGGAGCGGGUGAUUUCAGUGGACGCAGCUAACUGCGAGAGAUUAUAGUUGUUAGUGAUCUCGUUAUUGGCUACUCAUUUCUGCUCAAAGACAUUCGCCAAAGGAGGUUAGAAUUCGUCAACGCGUAAUAUACCUUUCUUUUUUGGUAAUUAAAUCGUCGCGCGGUGCGCUAAUUGUACAAGGUCAUUAAAGAAGGCCAUGAGUGCUAUAUUGAUGUAUUUUCGCAUUUCGAUGCCGGUGAAAAAAUGGAAUUGAGCAAGCUCACCUGAAAAGUGUCGUUUUCUGAUUAUGCGUUCCUCGUUGAAGUGUAUAAUUUCAAAAAAAGUCGUUCUCUCUUAGCUGUGCAAUUACACAACAUGCUCGGAACCUUGGCUGACCGCACUGUUAGCGUAGUAUACCAAUUAUUCUCGGCAGGUUCAUUAAUCUUGAACAGUCUGUAAACUUUGCGAUUACUUUUACGGUUGCAGUCCUACAGUUUCCGACCAAUGCAAGCUGUCGGCACUUUCGUUUCAUAUUAAUCGAAACAGGGCUACGCGUUGACACUGCACUCACGACACGGUCGACGGAUAUGGAUAUGACAUGGAUACGGGAAGAUUGGGUUACGGAACUUUGUUAUCAAAAGAAGACCUCUAAGUUUCAGCGCGCUCGUCGUCCGUGAUAUCAAAGGACAAAAUCAGCCGCCUUUGCAGCCUCGCCAAUCGCCGAACAACGGUCAAACGAUCAACCACCGCUUGAUUGACCGAUGUACCCCCGCAUGCCUACGUACGUACGUACAUAGGCAGAUGUGCACGUAUAAUGUUCACCGUACGUUUAUCACUGUGUUUUUAUGGGUUCAGCUCAUCGUCCACGCCUAUCACGGCUAUCACCUGAAACCUGAAACGAUCGACAUCUCUCUACCCUGCGUAGAUUGACAAUUGAAUGUCGUGAUCACGUGAUAGAUUCCAGAAAAAUUCCCGGUAAUCGUGAUUGAAAUGGAGGAGUUUUACCUUAUAAACGUCACAUGAUAGAUAUUGGUAUUAACAAGCCGCCGCGGCGUCUCAUACUCUGGAGUAUUUCGAAAUUCGACAUCGGCUUACGAUCUGACCGGCGUGUUGGAUUUUCGGGGACAUGCGGAUCCUAACGAAGCACAAGGAGCUAAUUGAACGCGAUGCCAACGACAUUUCAAUACUAUGGAAAUUACUACAAAUGUUGUUCUACUGUGUUAGCGCAAUAGCCGGCUACGUCACCGCACACGCAUUUUUUAUGUUUCAGGUAUAAUUCAGCUCUGAUUUAUUUGACCGUCGUUGCAUAUUGUGGGCGACGCCGGGGUUGGAACCAGAUCGUAAAGUGUCAGUGGCAGGUAUCGUUAAUUACAGGAUCUCGUCAAUGGGACAACCUUGGCAAGACAGGCUGACAGUCAGUUACAACACUCAACAUCAUUGCUCUACGAUACAGAUAAUAUCGAUUCUUUCGUGUAUCUGUGGUAUUGUUGGCUUUUCUUUCUUUUCCAUAUGUGGGCGCGGAGGUUACCAAGUUGGAAUAUACUACAGUCCCUGGAGACUGGUUGGACCGGCUAUACUUUUCAACUUAUGUCUGACGUUGCUAACUUGGCGGUCGGCCUGCAAUUUCCAAGAGGGAUUCCAUCAUUUUCAAUACCGUCUCAAUGGGAUGCUAAAUCAAUCUGGGAAUGAACCCAUCACGGAAUACCUGCCGACAAGCAAAAAAAACACCUACAAUAGACUUGUGUGGAAAUAUUAUGGAAUCACAAAGGUAUGGCACGAUGACAAUUCUAUCACACUCCAAAUUGACAUCCUUACGUGACGCUGAUUUUAUCCAAAGAAUUUAUUUAAACAAAAUUUAUGGGUAAUAUCGGCCAUCCUUGAGUAUGAUUCUCGAUUACAAAUUUUGCGAGAUUACUAGUUUAAAAUAUUGAAACUUGCGCUUCGUCUCACCGCAAUACAAAAGAUCUCAUCUUGGGUGGAAGUUGCUGCCUGGGUCAUGGGACUUACACUUCUGGUACUACGAGUUGUAAAUGUCACCGACUUCAGGUUGAUGAAAACCUCUGUAUAUGCCCUCGAAACAGAAGACGAAGAACAUCGAGAUGAAUCUCUUCGCUACAGAUUCGAAGAAUCAUGAACUUUGGUAGUGCGCGUUAAAACUUUAACCGGUGUUUCUAGCACUCCUCGGUUUAAUCCAUUCUUACAACGAAUAAAUCCUAUUCUUUGCAUA